rnacentral:rRNA from 2 species
UGGGGAAUAUUGCACAAUGGGGGAAACCCUGAUGCAGCGACGCCGCGUGAGCGAAGAAGGCCUUCGGGUCGUAAAGCUCUUUUAUGAGGGAAGAUAAUGACGGUACCUCAAGAAAAAGCCCCGGCUAACUACGUGCCAGCAGCCGCGGUAAUACGUAGGGGGCUAGCGUUGUCCGGAAUCACUGGGCGUAAAGGGUUCGCAGGCGGAAUAACAAGUCAGAUGUGAAAGGCAUGGGCUCAACCCAUGUAAGCAUUUGAAACUGUAAUUCUUGAGAAGUGGAGAGGUAAGUGGAAUUCCUAGUGUAGCGGUGAAAUGCGUAGAUAUAUGGAGGAACACCGGUGGCGAAAGCGGCUCUCUGGUCUGUAACUGACGCUGAGGCUCGAAAGCGUGGGGAGCGAACAGG